UGAGGCUUAAAUGCAGUUUUAAUAAACAGCAGUGCUUGAAUGUUUUUUUAAGCUAAUGUCAACAAUGAAUAGACGAUUGAAACGUUAGCUAAUUUAACGUUACCUGUAAGAAUAGUGAGUGACAAAACUGAUGUUUUAGGGUAACCUAGUCUACUGAGAAAUGGCUAAAAGGUAUGAUAACUCAUUUGUAUCACUAAACUAAACACAAGGGUUGAGCAAGUACUUGGCUGAAACAAGUACAGAUAAUGUACUUUUUAUGAGUACAAGUUUCAGAGUAAAAUGUGUCAAUAUUUGUUCUGUAAAUAGUUAUCUUACUCUUGUGAUCAAAAACAUUGCUCUGAAGCUCAAUUCUGAAGCUGUUCUGUAAAUCGUUUUCUAACAAAUAGAGCAACUUCUGAUCAAUUUCAGGCUUAAAUAAACAACUUCCGGUUAGUCCCACCCACGUCCGGUUUAAGCCCCACGCAUUCCGAGUACGAUACAAAUACAGAUCAUUUAGUUGGUUGAACAGAUGCAGAUACAGAUAAUGGUGUUUUCACUCAUCCCUACUAAACAUGUAGAUAUAUAUUCAGAAUUACUUACCCUUGACAUCGAGGAUGCAAAACAAUUGGUUGAAAAUAUUCCUGCGUGUCCGUUAAGCAGUUAAAUUCAAAUGUCCCGCCCCUCCUGCUUCUACGAACUUCCUGCUUGGUUUUUUGGUCAGGCUGAGACAAGAGGAAGGCUAUCAAUCUCAUAUUGAUGUUAAAUUGAGGUCAGUUAUGUGUAGGAGAAAUAGGCUGGACAAAGAGAUCUUAUUUUGAAUUUUUAUUUUUGAAUUUUGAAUUUAGCUAUUUUAUCCAUAGGCUGUUACCUCUGGUCUUUGCUCUGGUCCCCAAAGUAAACCUCUGAAAAGCACAUGCCCAACACAAAAUCUACCUGCAUUUGGCAGAGGGCGAGUGUUAAUUUCUUCUCUUACCAGAAGUGGUCGUUUUGCAACCACAUUGGACUGUGAUACCAAAAAUGAAGUCACUUGAUAUUAGUCUAUGGUGAAAAACAUUUGGUUUGGACCUGUUGCAGUAUUGUUAUCUUGAACUGCAUAACUCUUGAAAUGGUCAAAUAUGCUGUAUAUUUGAAAAAAAAAAAAAAAAAUUAAUUAAGUGCCCCAAUGAUGCACAAACGAAUGGCGUACGUUAAUGCAUUAUGCCAAAUUCUCCUGUGAGCUCACUGGCAUUUGUACCCAAUAUAGAAUUUGAAUAAAAAGAUGAUAACUUUUCAGAACAACAUGGGGGAUCACGCCUAUCUCACAGAACAUAACACCUGGUCGCUCUUUAUUUUACGGUACACGGUAAUAAGACGUAAUAAGCUGUACUUUAUAUCAAAUUAGACCAAAACUAGAAAAAAUAUGUUCUUUAUUUGACAGUAAACAAACACAGUUAUACCCUAAUUAGACACCAUACACCUAAAUUAUGUAAUUAGAAAUUUAUGUAAAUUAUGUAAUUAGAAACCGCAUAUAAUGCCGUAUUAGACCCAAAACAUACUAUACUUACACUAUUAUACCAAAUUAUACUCUAAUUAGAAACCAAACAGGAGAUCAUAAUACGGUCUAAUUAAAUCAAAUACAACACCAUAUCAGAUCCAAACUAUGCUACAGUUAGAGGCUAUUCUACCCGUACUACCAAAUUAUGCUAUAUUAGACACCACAGGCUGUAAUUAGACGACUUUAAUGCCAUAUUUAAAUAUUUAUGGCAAUAACCAGUGUUAACCAGUGUUGGGCAGUAGCAGCACUACAAGUAGCGGCAUUACUAGUUUAACUACAUUUCUCAGUAGCGUGGUGGUAGGGUCGCUGUUUUCGGAAUCAAAUAGCUUUUCAGUAGCUUAGCUCUUUUAUUGAUCAAGUAGUGCAGUAGCGUCCACACAACGUUACAUCUCCCCAAGCAUUUCAAGUAAACCUGAACUUUUCUGAAGUUCAAGCACAGCAGAGCUUUUUGCUGCGGACUGAAAUAAAACAGCUAAGGAUCAGUAAGUGAUGCCACCGUGGCAUUGAAGCAAUGCAGUUGGAAGACUGAAUUCUAUGGAUGCUGCAUAACUACCUACAGACAAUUGAAAUUCCAAGGGUGUUCUGGCUGAAUUCUGACCGCUGCUGAAAACCAACUGAGAUGCAAGUUGCUUAGCACCUCACAGUAAGAUGCAAAAUGUCUGAUGCCAAAUACAAAGCAGCUCCUAGAUAAGAAUAUAGAUCAUGUAUUUAAAUCUCAACAAAUAAUUACUGACACAAUUUCUAGGGGUUAUCAAAAUGCUGACCUUUUUACAUUUUGUUUUUGGCAGAGCCAGAAGCAGACACAGAGACAGAGGUUGUAGUAAGUAAAAGGUUUUAAUGAACCAAUGAUCACAUGGAGAGGUUUCGCAGGGGCAGGCAGGUAGGUGUAAUGGAGAAUGGCUGGAGAUGAGCUGAGAUGGCAUGUGUAGGAGAAAGCUGGGUGACAACGCUGGUCCUGAGGUACAAAAGAGAAGAUCCAAUUAACCAUAGGCACAGGGAAAAACACAAGAAGGAACACUAGAAAACAAUCCCCAGCAGUUCGACCAAGAGUACAAUACUACUGAGUAGGACAAAACAAUCUGGCAAGGAGUGAUUGCAGAGCUGGCAUAUUUAAACUGAGAGUUGAUGAGAUGAUUGGAGUCAGGUGUGGAGCCGAGCCAGGUAAGGUAGCUGCGCCCACAACACAUACACACACACACAAACGGGGGAGGAGGAGACAGGGAAGAGACAGAGGAGAACAUCAAGAAAACCCAGAGGCAGACCUGGGGCCUCAUUUAUAAAAGUUGUGUACGCACAAAAGGCAGCAUACGCCACUUUCUAAGCAAACUUUGGGAUUUAUAAAAAACAAACUUGAUGGGAGAAUGUGCGGCCCUCCACGGGAACUCUGACCUAUGCAAACGCACACUGGAGAAAUGAGAAACUGCGACUCUGAUGGCAGAAGGAUGAAACUCAAGAAACGAAGAAGGGAGGUAGGCCGCACCAACCCACACCGGAGCCCCCACCACGCCGCCAGAGGGCCAGGCGGGAAGCCACCGCUGGCCACCUGCAGCCAACCCAGUCCAGUCCCACACCCCAUCGCUAUUGUUUAACAGUUAAGAUAUUAAAAGUAAGAAUAAAUCUGUAAUUCAGAAUGGGCUUCCAUAUAACAACGGAAACGCUAGGUCAAAGAUGUUCUGGCUAGCUGCUGCAAUAACGUUAAUAAAGUUAACGUUAAAUGAAAAAACAGUUACCAACAUCCAAUAUACUACUCUUGUUAUUUCGUUGGCUUCAAAUGAGGCUUAACAGUUUCUCUUGACUGUCCCUGAAUAUUACAACAUUAGUCUGACAUCGCGCAGAGUACCACCUGUAGCCUAACGUUACACUAGCUAAAAGAUGACGUCUGCGACAUCAU